UUAAGCGACUAAGCGUACACGGUGGAUGCCCUGGCAGUCAGAGGCGAUGAAGGACGUGCUAAUCUGCGAAAAGCGUCGGUAAGGUGAUAUGAACCGUUACAACCGGCGAUGUCCGAAUGGGGAAACCCAGUGCAAUUCGUUGCACUAUCGUUAAAUGAAUACAUAGGCAAACGAGGCGAACCGGGGGAACUGAAACAUCUAAGUACCCCGAGGAAAAGAAAUCAACCGAGAUUCCCCCAGUAGCGGCGAGCGAACGGGGAGCAGCCCGGAGUCUGAAUCAGCUUGUGUGUUAGUGGAAGCGUCUGGAAAGUCGCAGGGUACAGGGUGAUACUCCCGUACACUAAAACACACAGGCUGUGAACUCGAAGAGUAGGGCGGGACACGUGGUAUCCUGUCUGAAUAUGGGGGGACCAUCCUCCAAGGCUAAAUACUCCUGACUGACCGAUAGUGAACCAGUACCGUGAGGGAAAGGCGAAAAGAACCCCGGCGAGGGGAGUGAAAAAGAACCUGAAACCGUGUACGUACAAGCAGUAGGAGCCCCACCACCAAAGCGUUUCGCUUUGCGUGGUGCGCAAAAUGCGUAACGACAGCAUGAUGGACGGUUAACGGAGCGUCAGCGACGUUCAACCUCAAAAAUCAGGCAGUGGAGCGUUUUGGGGUGGGGUGACUGCGUACCUUUUGUAUAAUGGGUCAGCGACUUAUAUUCUGUAGCAAGGUUAACCGAAUAGGGGAGCCGCAGGGAAACCGAGUCUUAACUGGGCGUUAAGUUGCAGGGUAUAGACCCGAAACCCGGUGAUCUAGCCAUGGGCAGGUUGAAGGUUGGGUAACACUAACUGGAGGACCGAACCGACUAAUGUUGAAAAAUUAGCGGAUGACUUGUGGCUGGGGGUGAAAGGCCAAUCAAACCGGGAGAUAGCUGGUUCUCCCCGAAAGCUAUUUAGGUAGCGCCUCGUGAAUUCAUCUUCGGGGGUAGAGCACUGUUUCGGCUAGGGGGUCAUCCCGACUUACCAACCCGAUGCAAACUACGAAUACCGAAGAAUGUUAUCACGGGAGACACACGGCGGGUGCUAACGUCCGUCGUGAAGAGGGAAACAACCCAGACCGCCAGCUAAGGUCCCAAAGUCAUGGUUAAGUGGGAAACGAUGUGGGAAGGCCCAGACAGCCAGGAUGUUGGCUUAGAAGCAGCCAUCAUUUAAAGAAAGCGUAAUAGCUCACUGGUCGAGUCGGCCUGCGCGGAAGAUGUAACGGGGCUAAACCAUGCACCGAAGCUGCGGCAGCGACGCUUAUGCGUUGUUGGGUAGGGGAGCGUUCUGUAAGCCGUUGAAGGUGGCCUGUGAGGGUUGCUGGAGGUAUCAGAAGUGCGAAUGCUGACAUAAGUAACGAUAAUGCGGGUGAAAAACCCGCACGCCGGAAGACCAAGGGUUCCUGUCCAACGUUAAUCGGGGCAGGGUGAGUCGACCCCUAAGGCGAGGCCGAAAGGCGUAGUCGAUGGGAAACAGGUUAAUAUUCCUGUACUUGGUGUUACUGCGAAGGGGGGACGGAGAAGGCUAUGUUGGCCGGGCGACGGUUGUCCCGGUUUAAGCAUGUAGGCGGAUGUUCCAGGUAAAUCCGGAACGUCACUAACGCUGAGGUGUGAUGACGAGGCACUACGGUGCUGAAGUGACAAAUGCCCUGCUUCCAGGAAAAGCCUCUAAGCAUCAGGUAACAUCAAAUCGUACCCCAAACCGACACAGGUGGUCAGGUAGAGAAUACCAAGGCGCUUGAGAGAACUCGGGUGAAGGAACUAGGCAAAAUGGUGCCGUAACUUCGGGAGAAGGCACGCUGAUGGUAAGUGAAGCGACUUGCUCACGGAGCUGAAAUCAGUCGAAGAUACCAGCUGGCUGCAACUGUUUAUUAAAAACACAGCACUGUGCAAACACGAAAGUGGACGUAUACGGUGUGACGCCUGCCCGGUGCCGGAAGGUUAAUUGAUGGGGUUAUCCGCAAGGAGAAGCUCUUGAUCGAAGCCCCGGUAAACGGCGGCCGUAACUAUAACGGUCCUAAGGUAGCGAAAUUCCUUGUCGGGUAAGUUCCGACCUGCACGAAUGGCGUAAUGAUGGCCAGGCUGUCUCCACCCGAGACUCAGUGAAAUUGAACUCGCUGUGAAGAUGCAGUGUACCCGCGGCAAGACGGAAAGACCCCGUGAACCUUUACUAUAGCUUGACACUGAACACUGGUCCUUGAUGUGUAGGAUAGGUGGGAGGCUUUGAAGUGUGGACGCCAGUCUGCAUGGAGCCAUCCUUGAAAUACCACCCUUUAAUGGCUGGGGUUCUAACGUGGGCCCGUAAUCCGGGUUGCGGACAGUGUCUGGUGGGUAGUUUGACUGGGGCGGUCUCCUCCUAAAGAGUAACGGAGGAGCACGAAGGUCAGCUAAUCCUGGUCGGACAUCAGGAGGUUAGUGCAAUGGCAUAAGCUGGCUUGACUGCGAGCGUGACGGCGCGAGCAGGUGCGAAAGCAGGUCAUAGUGAUCCGGUGGUUCUGAAUGGAAGGGCCAUCGCUCAACGGAUAAAAGGUACUCCGGGGAUAACAGGCUGAUACCGCCCAAGAGUUCAUAUCGACGGCGGUGUUUGGCACCUCGAUGUCGGCUCAUCACAUCCUGGGGCUGAAGUAGGUCCCAAGGGUAUGGCUGUUCGCCAUUUAAAGUGGUACGCGAGCUGGGUUUAGAACGUCGUGAGACAGUUCGGUCCCUAUCUGCCGUGGGCGCUGGAGAAUUGAGGGGGGCUGCUCCUAGUACGAGAGGACCGGAGUGGACGCAUCACUGGUGUUCGGGUUGUCAUGCCAAUGGCACUGCCCGGUAGCUAAAUGCGGAAGAGAUAAGUGCUGAAAGCAUCUAAGCACGAAACUUGCCCCGAGAUGAGUUCUCCCUGACCCUUUAAGGGUCCUGAAGGAACGUUGAAGACGACGACGUUGAUAGGCCGGGUGUGUAAGCGCAGCGAUGCGUUGAGCUAACCGGUACUAAUGAACCGUGAGGCUUAACCUU
rnacentral:rRNA from 1 species